GUGAGGAAUAUUGGUCAAUGGUCGGAAGACUGAACCAGCCAUGCCUCGUGCAGGAAGACGGUCCUAUGGAUUGUAAACUGCUUUUAUUUGGGAAUAAACCUCCUUACGUGUAGGGAGCUGAAGGUACCAAAUGAAUAAGCACCGGCUAACUCCGUGCCAGCAGCCGCGGUAAUACGGAGGGUGCAAGCGUUAUCCGGAAUCAUUGGGUUUAAAGGGUCCGCAGGCGGUCAUAUAAGUCAGUGGUGAAAGCCUACAGCUCAACUGUAGAACUGCCAUUGAUACUGUAUGACUUGAAUUCGAUCGAAGUGGGCGGAAUGUGACAUGUAGCGGUGAAAUGCUUAGAUAUGUCACAGAACACCGAUAGCGAAGGCAGCUCACUAGGUCUGGAUUGACGCUCAGGGACGAAAGCGUGGGGAGCAAACAGGAUUAGAUACCCCGGUAGUCC
rnacentral:rRNA from 1 species